AUCUCCACUAAUAUAAAAAGAGCCAGAGCUUUUGGAUCUAGACCAUCCAAUCGUCUAAUCCAAUGGUUAAGAUUAGCAGUAAAACAUUGUUAGACGCCCACUGUCCCACGCUCAGCCUAAACACACUUUUUCCCGAGAGGCAAACACCUCGCGCACGUCGCGCUACCCAGCGCACGCUAGAAAACCGCUCAACCUUAGGAAAAUGGAAACCUCCAAAUCACCGCAUCCAGACACCCGCCGCCGCCGGCCUGCCUGAUGGAUCCGCCCGCGAACAUGCCGCCGCCGCUGCUGCCCUGUCAGCAUGCCGCCAGACAGCCUGACGGCUCCGCUCGUGAAGACGAUGACACCGCCGCCGCCUGCACGCUGCACUGACACCACUCUGCGACCAUGCCGCGAACCGCGAGGAGAUGCGAACCCCGCUUCUGUCCGACCACCACAACAAUGAGACCUCCUGCUUAUCAUACCACCUGUACCGCGGCUAUAUUCUCCAAUUCCGGAUGCAUCCACAUGCCCGAGCUCCUCCACGCCGCCACCUCGCAUCGACGGGGAAUGUGAUGACAGGGCAGGGCCAAUCCCGCCAUGGUGAGCAUCUUUCAGUAAUUUAGAUCGGGAUCCAAAACUAGAAUGUUCCCAAGUUUUUUGUGGGGCUUUAUCCUUGGAAAUUAUCUACUCGAACAUGAAUGAGGUUCUUUUGCUUGUUUCUGGUGUGGCUAAACAGGAAAUGCGAAGAAGGAACGUUGAUUCGGUUUCUUGCAGUAUUCUGAAAACUGAGCACAGCUAUACAAUCCAGAGCGGAGAGAUCAUACGGAACUAAUUUCAUUCAUCAUAUUUGGACGCUGGUGAUAGGUGAACCUGUGAUAUAUGUAGUAACGCUGUACUAAUUUCACUCUUUUGUAUCUAUCAUUCUUUUGUUUUUACAUUUUAAAACUCUCUUAAAAAAAUAUUUUGCUGCAUGUACUAUCAUUUCUGAACAUCUCCAGGUAUGUGAUGGAGACCCUUUUGGUAACGUUUAGACACUUCUGCUACAGGCAUGGUCUGCUCAGGUUUUCAAAACUUUGACGAACUUGAUCAGUACUGUACAACUGAAAAGGCAUGCAAUCCAUUGACCCUGAUGCUAAAUAUAUUCUCGAAGCAUUGAGAUGGGUUGGUGACCUGGUGUAAGAACAAUUGUUGUAUCCUGCUUUGACAACCGCCUUCGGCCACUUCUAUAGGCCCUGUAAUGAUCACUGGUUUGACACAAUCGUAUCUUCUAAGGUGCAGCAAUGGAGCUUCAGCCCGGCAUGCCCGGACUCCUCCCAAGAUCCUUCAUUGAGGUUGCAGCAGAUAUUAACAAAUUAAUCAAUAGUUCUCAUGCACAAACAGCCAUUAACCAAGAGCUUUUGUAGUUUGCUUACUUGGGUUUCCGUUUCAGAUGAUCUGGUUUUGCUAAGCCUAUUAGUUGAACAUUGACUAUAGCUAUUGGCCUUUAUUAUGUCAUACUUUCUUCUUCUUCAUCAUAUCAAUACUGAUGCAUUUUGUCACUCUCCAUAUCCAGGAGCUGUGACACAGUUUGGUGAUGUCGGCUCAUAGAUUUCCUUCAAUUUCUCUUCCAGCUUCCCAUGGUAUGACAGCCCCCUAAUAAAAGAAGUUACAGAACGAUGUCAUCCAUUUACUGCAGUUUGAUUUAUUCGUGCAGAUAUGAACUACUUAUUCUGAAAUCAUGUAUGUCGUCCUGUGCCCAGGAGCAGGAUUUGAGUAGAUGUGAAAGAUGGAGUUGGCCAACAAAACCACUCUCUGCAGCCUGAUUUUCAUUUGGUCUGCUGCCGAGUUACAAAAUUUUCUUUUUUAGCUUUGUUUUGAAUCUUUUCCAGGAUUCCCUUGCUCAUCUUCCUAGCAUCCAAAGCAAUUUGUAAUAUUGUGUUGCUCAUGUUCUGCCUCAAGUAAUGGCAAUUAACUUCAGGAAAGAUAUGUGUUAUGUAGCCUUUAUUUCUGUAAUUGCAUAUUGACAUGCUGCCUUCCAUUUAUGUCCGCAUUUUCUCAAGGUUUAUUGUCCAAGCUCAUGUGAGUGUUACUGCAUGGUGUUGGGCCAUAACAGAACAAAUGAGGUACACCCCGUUUAUUACUUGGGAAACA